AAUUAGGAUUUUUUAAAAUCCCCACAUUAAGAAUGGGGAAUAUUAU
rfam:Cricetulus griseus cell line CHO-K1, whole genome shotgun sequence.